CCAGCACCCGCGGUAAUUCCAGCUCCAAUAGCGUAUAUUAAAGUUGUUGCAGUUAAAAAGCUCGUAGUUGGAUUUGUGGGCGUCACCAAGGUCCACUUUUGGUACUAUUGGAGAUGCCCAUCCUUGGGUGGAGCCUGUGUGGCAUUAGGUUGUCGUGCAGGGGAUACCCAUCGUUUACUGUGAAAAAAUCAGCGCGUUCAAAGCAGGCUUAUGCCGUUGAAUGCAUUAGCAUGGAAUAAUAAGAUAGGACCUUGGUACUAUUUUGUUGGUUUGCGCACCGAGGUAAUGAUUAAUAGGGACAGUUGGGGGUAUUCGUAUUCCAUUGUCAGAGGUGAAAUUCUUGGAUUUCUGGAAGACGAACUACUGCGAAAGCAUUUACCAAGGAUGUUUUCAUUAAUCAAGAACGAAAGU
rnacentral:rRNA from 1 species